rnacentral:rRNA from 1 species
GACGAACCGUGCGAACGUUGUUCGGAAUCACUGGGCUUAAAGGGCGCGUAGGCGGGUUCGCAAGUCUGUGGUGAAAGCCCCCAGCUUAACUGGGGAAGUGCCGUGGAUACUGCGAAUCUUGAGGAGGGUAGGGGCAUCUGGAACGGUCGGUGGAGCGGUGAAAUGCGUUGAUAUCGACCGGAACUCCGGUGGCGAAGGCGAGGUGCUGGACCCUUUCUGACGCUGAGGCGCGAAAGCCAGGGGAGCAAACGGG